rnacentral:misc_RNA from 1 species
CCAACGAAAUACGGCAACAAAUCAACAGCGCCGUGAAAAUUGUUCAGUACAGGCCAUGAGAUCUGACGUGGCAAGACCGGAAGCACGUCAUUAACCCUGAAAGGUACCUUCAAAGCUUCGGCAUAAAUUGAAUCCAACCCUAACCCUAAAAAGCAUAAUAACACAAAAGACGAUAGCGCCAAACGCAAUGUCGUUCGAAGCGAU